UCGAAUCUGAGAUGCAGAGAAAAGCGAGACGAAGAGGAGAAGGAGGCUGUUUUACAAUGUACAUUAUACGACGGAAUUCUGUUGGCAGAUUGGAAAUAAAAGUAGCAACCCAUUGAGCGUUGUACAUUGCUCAAGCCCGUCCCACCUGUCAAACAAAUAUUCGCAUCCUUUUGUUUCGAGAUUCUGUGUAGUAAGUCAGAUUUUGGCACAUGGUGCUCGCACACAGCCAACCAGCAUAAACACGAUGAAAAAGUCUAUUGUCCUUUGCACACUACCAACCACACCAGGACACCAACCACACACAACCAGAUAGCACUGCUGGAUUAUAUGGUUUGGACCUAACGUGUGGCUUAAUAAGCAACUUAGACCAUCAUGCAAGCCACGCCAGGACCAUUAAAUAACAAAAAGCAAAUUGCUCGCUCCGACAGGCCACUGGCAACAAUGUAUUAGCGGUGGACAAAAAAUGCGAAAUUCUUCAAGAAUUCUGAUAUAUUGUGCAAUGCUCCUUCCACUCCACACCCAGAUUACGAUGAUUACGGAUUUCAAAGGUGGACCAUAUUGCCUACAUGUGCACAUAUAUAUUCUAUCUCUUAGGAGUUUCGUAAGGCUUUAAUUUCAAAUUGCUAUUACAUCUGCAAGUUGCCCUGUAAUCGGAUAGUAACUUUUCCGUAAUUAAUUUAAGUAUUCAAGAAUAAAUUUUUAGAAUU